UCGAAGACAAUGUUUCUGUUGGAACUAGC
rnacentral:piRNA from 1 species